rnacentral:rRNA from 1 species
AGUGAACGCUGGCGGUAGGCCUAACACAUGCAAGUCGAACGGCAGCACAGUAAGAGCUUGCUCUUACGGGUGGCGAGUGGCGGACGGGUGAGGAAUACAUCGGAAUCUACUUUUUCGUGGGGGAUAACGUAGGGAAACUUACGCUAAUACCGCAUACUACCUACGGGUGAAAGCAGGGGAUCUUCGGACCUUGCGCGAUUGAAUGAGCCGAUGUCGGAUUAGCUAGUUGGCGGGGUAAAGGCCCACCAAGGCGACGCUCCGUAGCUGGUCUGAGAGGAUGAUCAGCCACACUGGAACUGAGACACGGUCCAGACUCCUACGGGAGGCAGCAGUGGGGAAUAUUGGACAAUGGGCGCAAGCCUGAUCCAGCCCUACCGCGUGGGUGAAGAAGGCCUUCGGGUUUUAAAGCCCUUUUGUUGGGAAAGAAAAGCAGCAGGUUAAUACCCCGCUGUUCUGACGGUACCCAAAGAAUAAGCACCGGCUAACUUCGUG